CCUGUUUGGCAGGGCCUGGUUGUGUUGCUUAGUGAGCUGAUGGGGUUAAUGGCCGUACAGGUGUAGUCCUCUUCUGCACGGGUGGGGGAUACAGUCAGGGUAGCUCUGUUCUCCGCUCCAGCAAUGUUCUCUCCAUUUCUGCUCCAGGACAGCGCCACCUGGCUGCCUCCAAUCACACUGCAACUCAGGGUCACGUUACAGCUGCUGCCGUCUGUGCUGUUAUUCACCUGGGAGGUUACCUGCACUGAAACAAUCCUCUC